AGUCUUAAAUGUUAAUUAAGUUAGUAAUUGUUUCCUUUUAACCUGAUAUUGAUUUUGUUAGUUUUGGUCAUGUGGUUCUUUAAGAGUUAGUAAUUGUUUGCUUUUGGAAUUAAUUGAUCUCUAAGUGGUUUUGUUAAGUAUUAUAUGAUUUUCUUCAUUUUGUGUUAAUACGUCUUCAUUUCAAUUUGAUUUCAAUUAGUUUAGGCGUUUGGUUAUAGCUGAUUAAUUCUUAUCUUGGUAGGCAGUUAAUUGUGGUUCAGUUAAAAGGUAGUUCAGUAAAGUAAUUUUAGAGGUGUUAAAGGGUAGUUUAGGUAUUUGGUAUUGGGCAGAACAUGGCAGAUCACACUAGAAUAGCUUAGGUUCUUCUAGAAUAUGACUUUAGUGCAUAUUUUUAUAACUUAGGAGUGUAAUUUGGGUACAAGUCAAGAAAAUAGAGGUUUAAAUGAAAAUAAGAAGAGGGACUGUUUUAUAAAGAUUAAAAUCUGAUGCCCUCUUAAUUGUGCCUAUAAAAGGGCAUCAGUAAUGCCUUGGGAAAAAAGUUUUUGAGCCUCAAUACUCCUCCCAAAAACCUCUCUCACAUAUCUGCAUUCUAAAUUCAAAAUUCAAAUCAGUAGAAGUAAGACGAUCCUUCUUUAGAUCUUAGAUUACUAAAAAAUCCAAAAACAGAAAAAUACAACAAAAAAUAAAAAACAAGUAUUGUUACAUUUCUUCCUUUGGUCCAAUUUUGAGUUCUAGGAUUGGUUUUCAUCUCAUUUAGUUCAAUGUUGGUUUGCUGAAGUAUCCAGGGUCUACUGAUUUGUUUCCGAAUGGGUUUUGGUUUCAUUUGAGUUGGUUUUGAGAUCUAAUAGUUAUGUGUAAUUUUCGAACACUUCUGGGUUUUGAAUCUGUGCUGGGCCAUUUUUACACUUCAUUGAUUGCUGUUGGGGAUUCAAAUUGAUUUUUGAGUUGCUGCUCGAGUGUUUUUGCUUCAGCUGACCUCCAUUUUUCUUCAUUGAUUGUUCUGAUUCCAGGUACACAUCUAUAGCCAAUUUUGGUGUAAUUUGAAUUGUAAAGGGAUAACUUGACAUUUAGCUCGACUGCAUCUGUCUGAUUUAGUCUAUUUUAAUUUCGUUCCAAUGGCUAAAUAUUAUAUUUAAUUGAACUGUUCUGGAUCGUGAGUUUAUUGGAAUGUUAAUUCUGUUUAUUCUUAUGAGUAUGUGAACUUCGUAGUUAACAGUUUUAAUUUGGUCUAGCUGAUAUUAUUAGUAUGGCAUAGUAUAAUGUAGUGUAGUUUCAUUACUUUUUCGUAAUUGUAAAAAAUAGAUUCAUUUUUCAGUAUGCUAACUUCGACCGUCCAGUCCUUAAAUCGGGAAUUACUUAAGUAUCGGUCAAAUAAUGUUAGUUUGAAUUAGUCUCAAAAUAGUUGAUCUGUUCUGAGUUUGGUUCAUACAUAGGGUAAGCGAGAUUACACAAUCAAGCUGUUAUGAAAACGAAUUUUUGGUUCCAAUUUGGUGGUCACCUAUAAUGAAAUUUGGGGAACUUUUUAGUAAGAAAAUAAGCAAGGCAAAAUCAGUAGAUGCAAAAAAAAAAAAAAAAUGAUUUUAUAAUCUGAGAUAGGUACAACAUAAUUGCACACAACUAGGCAAUCAGUGUUGGGGAAUCGAUUAGACUGCUUCAAUUUAAAUUUAUGUGUGGUGUUAUGCUUCUGCCAGGGCUCGACCCUUGAGCCUUGUUUUCCAAUUGCAACUGACCAUGAACAAUGUCACUUGGGCCUAUUUCUACAAUAGUAGGCCCAAAGUGUUGGAUCCUUUAUUUUUUAUUUUUGAACAAAUUGCUAAAGCAUGCUUUAUUUAUUUACUUCAUAAACUACUGGGCCUGAAUCGUUUGAGAGUAAAUCAUGAGGAUUGGACUUUUAUCAAUAAGAAUUAAUUAGGACUUUUCUCUUUGUUAUUAGAGACUAAUAAAAUAGGAAAAUCAUAGUUGCUUUUAGGUUUACCCUUUUAAAAUAAAAUGAGAUGAGCCUCGCCAAAUAAAAACUGCAAAAUUGCAGGGCCCUCAAUAAAUGGGUGAAUUAAAAUAUCUAGAUUUCGGGAUAGGUCGUUUAGCGAAUUUCACGGCCUACCCCAAAGACAAUAAUGCGUUAGCCUCUUUAGGUGCGAUUUUAAUAAAAUUACCUUCUUAAACUCGGGUGUGCAUUACAUGUGACCCAAAUCAAAUCCCAAAACGUUGAAUAAGAUGUGUUCAGGAUUGUGAGCUUUUACCGUUUUGAUAUUCUGUGAACUGUAUAUAAACUGUGUUGAAACCAAUCUCCUCUCUCAAUCUUCUAAAUCAUGAAGAAGGGUGCCCUUCGUGUGAUUUCUUUUAUGUAUAGAGUCUAAGUCCCAAUUUAGAACGAGGCUCGGAUAAGUUGCAAAGCCGGCGAAGCUUCUACUUUCCCGGUACUCUGCGUCCCCCUCGGCUUGAGCUGUCCGCUCGGGUAAGCCAGGUCCAGAACAAACACCCAGAUUUUGAACCUAGAAUAACUCAACCUCAUGCCUGAUCCCUAGUAGGAACGAUUAUUUGCAUCAUGUGCAUUUGACUUAGGGGACUCAACACAGGGUUUGGAUAUGUCUAGGACAAGCAACCUCAAAUGAAAAGACCAUUAUGAUGUAUCCUAUUUAUUUUCUGUGCAUUUAUUUGUUCGGACUUGUAUGUUGAUCGGCUUCUGAAUCUCGGGAAUAUCAGAAAAUUGAGAAAAGGGGAAAAGGAGAGAAAUAGCAGUGCAGAGAGUUAAUUAUCUGUUUUAGAAAAACAACCAAUGUCAAAAUCAUGUCGAAACUCUGCCGAAUUUUUGAGAAAAAGGAAAAAGAAGGAAAGGAAAAAAAAAUAUGUUUUCAAAAAAUGGUUUGUUUUAUUGGUUAAAAAAAAACCCAAAAGAGUUUAUUUUCAAAUAGUUUGUUGAAAAAAAAAUACAAAAAGAGCAUUGUUUUCCAAAAUAGUGUAUUUGUCAAUGAAAAAGAGUCUUUUUUUUGAAAAUAGUUAGUUUUAUUGGCCCGAACUACGCAGGUUUGAUUCUCACACGGCGUGAGAUACGUAGGCAACCCUCUUCGGGUCCAACCUCCCCUUUUGCAAAAAUAGCCAAAAGAUGUCAGAAUUUUAAUUUUUGAUAUAAAUAAGUCAGUUGGUGCCUUCUUGUCAAAACAACCGAAUGUCCCUAAAAGGGUGCCAGAAGGUUGUUUUUGCGAGAGCAACCACCUUUGGUCAUUUUUCAGGAUUUUGGUCGGUUAGUCAACACAACCUUAAAAUUUUCGUCACCGAGGUGCUGAAAGGCCGUGUUUGCAAACCUAGGUAUUUUAUUUUAAUUUAAAAAAAUUAAAAAAGAGUCACUGGCCAAGUAAUAUCAUUUGGAUAUUUGUCAAAAUAAGUCGAUCCAGCUUCGGCGGUGUCUGAAACCGUUCUUGCCGAGAUAGCCGUAGAGUAUCUUUCAGUUGCCGAAAGGCUAUUUUCAUAAAAGAACGGACAAGUUUGUGAAGUGUCAUAAAAUAAUCCUCCCCGACCUCAAAAUUCAGGUGUAAUAGAUAAGGGGCCACAUUUGCAAAAAUAGCCAUUUAGUUAAAAUUGGCAUAUAGGAGAAGGAAUCCGUCAGUCUGUUGGUGAAUUUAUAUUUCUUUUGAUUAGAGUAUGUGGGUUAUUUGAUUUUCGAGUCUGUGUUCGUCUUUUCGUUAGGGUCUGUUAGUUUUGUUUAACUUUGUAAGUUUUUGAAUCAUUGUAGUCAAAGUUUUUUUUACUGUAAAAAUUGAAAGUUUAAAUAUGUUUUAUUGUUUUUUUUUACCUUUUUAUCUUCACGAACUAUGCAGGUUUGAUUCUCAUUGGGUGUGAGAUACAUAGGCAACCCUCAUCGGGUCCAACCUCCCGUUUGCAAAAAUAGCCAAAAAUGUUAAAGCCUUUAUUUUCGUCAUAAAUAAGUCGGGUGAUUCCAUUCUUGUUUAAAACAAGCCGAAUGUCCCUAAAAGUGCGCCGGAAGGCUGCUUUUACAAGAACAACCACCUUUUGGUAAGUUUUGAAGGUUUUGGCCUGUUAGCCAACGUAGCCUUAAAAUCUUCGUUCUCGAGGUGAUGGAAGGCCGUGAUCGUGAAACCAGGUCUUUUAUUUUAAAUUGAAAAAUAAGAAAAAAGUCAGUGAUCAAGUGAGAUCCGUUUGGAUUUUGGUUAAAAUAAGUCGAUCCAGCUUCGUGUCUUAAACUGUUCUUGCCGAGAUAGCCUUAGAGUAACUUUCAGUUGUCGAAAGGCUAUUUUUGUAGAGAAUGGACAAGUUUGUGAAGUAUCAUAAAAUAAUCCUCCCCGGCCUCAGAAUUCACGGGAAGGAGCCACAUUUGCAAAAAUAGCCAUUUUGUUAAAGUGGCAUAUGGGGGAAGAAUCUGUUAGUUUGUUUUCUCUUAUGAUUAGAGUAUGUGGGUUGUUUGAUUUUCGAGUCUGUAUUUUGGCUUUUCGUCAGAGUCUGUUAGUUUUUUUAAGUUUGUCAGUUGUUGAAUCAUUAUAGUCAAAGUUUGUUUUACUGAGAAAAAUUGAAAGUUCUAAAAUAAGUUUUUUUUGUUUUUACCUUUUAUCUGCAAGAACUACGCUCGGUCUGAUUCAUGCGGGGUCAUGAUACGUAGGCAAUCUCAAUAGGAUUCAACUAUAACAAAAAAAAAAAGAAAGAAAAGAGCGAAAAUACAAGAAAAAGAGAGUAAAAGAAAACAGAGGAAAAACAAGAAAGGAAAUGACAGAAAAAUGGUGAAAAACAAGAG
rnacentral:lncRNA from 1 species